rnacentral:lncRNA from 1 species
AAGUAUAAGGACUCAGCAUACAAGCUGAUCCCCAAACUCAAAUUGGUGAAGUUUCUAUCUUUUUGGAAAAUGGCAUUGUACCUAGGAUGUCUUUUGGUUAUUUUGAAAGUAUCUAAGUUGUUAAGUGAUAUUUUGGUAUGUUUUGUAAAUGUUACCAAAAGUAUGGUAUGUUUUGAUAUGUUAGUGAAGAGUAAUAAGAGGAAG